AUGAUACUCCCUCCGUUCUAAAUUACUAGUCGCUGAAAUGGAUGUAUCUAGAAUUAAAAUACAUCUAGAUACAUCCAUUCUUGCGACAAGUAAUUCGGAACGGAGGGAGUACAUU
rfam:Triticum aestivum genome assembly, contig: Triticum_aestivum_CS42_TGACv1_scaffold_220881_3B